rnacentral:rRNA from 1 species
GGGCUGCUAUACAUGCAAGUCGAACGAACUCUGGUAUUGAUUGGUGCUUGCAUCAUGAUUUACAUUUGAGUGAGUGGCGAACUGGUGAGUAACACGUGGGAAACCUGCCCAGAAGCGGGGGAUAACACCUGGAAACAGAUGCUAAUACCGCAUAACAACUUGGACCGCAUGGUCCGAGUUUGAAAGAUGGCUUCGGCUAUCACUUUUGGAUGGUCCCGCGGCGUAUUAGCUAGAUGGUGGGGUAACGGCUCACCAUGGCAAUGAUACGUAGCCGACCUGAGAGGGUAAUCGGCCACAUUGGGACUGAGACACGGCCCAAACUCCUACGGGAGGCAGCAGUAGGGAAUCUUCCACAAUGGACGAAAGUCUGAUGGAGCAACGCCGCGUGAGUGAAGAAGGGUUUCGGCUCGUAAAACUCUGUUGUUAAAGAAGAACAUAUCUGAGAGUAACUGUUCAGGUAUUGACGGUAUUUAACCAGAAAGCCACGGCUAACUACGUGCCAGCAGCCGCGGUAAUACGUAGGUGGCAAGCGUUGUCCGGAUUUAUUGGGCGUAAAGCGAGCGCAGGCGGUUUUUUAAGUCUGAUGUGAAAGCCUUCGGCUCAACCGAAGAAGUGCAUCGGAAACUGGGAAACUUGAGUGCAGAAGAGGACAGUGGAACUCCAUGUGUAGCGGUGAAAUGCGUAGAUAUAUGGAAGAACACCAGUGGCGAAGGCGGCUGUCUGGUCUGUAACUGACGCUGAGGCUCGAAAGUAUGGGUAGCAAACAGGAUUAGAUACCCUGGUAGUCCAUACCGUAAACGAUGAAUGCUAAGUGUUGGAGGGUUUCCGCCCUUCAGUGCUGCAGCUAACGCAUUAAGCAUUCCGCCUGGGGAGUACGGCCGCAAGGCUGAAACUCAAAGGAAUUGACGGGGGCCCGCACAAGCGGUGGAGCAUGUGGUUUAAUUCGAAGCUACGCGAAGAACCUUACCAGGUCUUGACAUACUAUGCAAAUCUAAGAGAUUAGACGUUCCCUUCGGGGACAUGGAUACAGGUGGUGCAUGGUUGUCGUCAGCUCGUGUCGUGAGAUGUUGGGUUAAGUCCCGCAACGAGCGCAACCCUUAUUAUCAGUUGCCAGCAUUAAGUUGGGCACUCUGGUGAGACUGCCGGUGACAAACCGGAGGAAGGUGGGGAUGACGUCAAAUCAUCAUGCCCCUUAUGACCUGGGCUACACACGUGCUACAAUGGAUGGUACAACGAGUUGCGAACUCGCGAGAGUAAGCUAAUCUCUUAAAGCCAUUCUCAGUUCGGAUUGUAGGCUGCAACUCGCCUACAUGAAGUCGGAAUCGCUAGUAAUCGCGGAUCAGCAUGCCGCGGUGAAUACGUUCCCGGGCCUUGUACACACCGCCCGUCACACCAUGAGAGUUUGUAACACCCAAAGUCGGUGGGGUAACCUUUUAGGAACCAGCCGCCUAAGGUGGGACAGAUGAUUAGGGUGAAGUCGUAACAAGGGGGC